CAGAAUUUGAUGGAUACUCAAUGAUUAGAUGCCAAUAGCAUAAACAAUUAAAGAUUACAUGGUUCAGGCUAUAAAGUCUUAAGUUCGAAAUCUAGAAGGGAAGCUAUACAUCUUUUUGGAUGGAGAAUUAUUUUCCAAUCUGAAAAUAUAUCACAAAAGCAUUAAUUUCCUUAUUGCAGACCACUACUUUGUGAUUGAUGCUUGGAUUUCCUCGAGUGUUCUUCCUUUAGUCUCAGGAACCAGCUUUGCAAUGAACACAACACCUGCUAUACUUAUGCCACCAUAAAUGAUGAAUGUUCCUGCUGAACUCCACUCAAACAAAAAGUUGAAAGUGUAGGCAAUAACCCAAGAACCAAUCCAGCUAACCAAAUUGACAAGACUUCCAGCCGAGCCCUUUAUGUUUAUGGGAAAUAUCUGAAAACCUCACCAAGUUUCUAUCAUAAUAAGAACUGAAAUCUCAAAAAGAAGGCAGGGGAAGGAAAUAAAGAAAGAAGCAUGCAUACCUCCGACAUGAUAAUCCAGGGUAUCCCUCCCAUGCCAAAUUCAAAGGAACCUAAGUACAGCUAUUUCAUUUGAACAUUUAAACAACUAAUAAGCAAGUGACCAAAAUUGAGAGACACAGGACUAAACUAUAGCAGGAAGAGGAAUAGGUAGAUCACCAAUACACCCAAAAGCACCAAAACAGAAGUCACAUCCUCCCUGACCAUGUGAAGAUCCUGGAAGAAGAAUGACAAUCCUGUAAGAACACAACCCAAGCAAGUUCCUACUGCAGAUAUCAUUAGUAGCAGUCUUCUUCCCAAUUUAUCUAUUAACAAUGCCCCCAAAGUUGUCAUUAUAAUCUGAGUAACUGAAGCUGCUAUGGUGCCAAUUGUGCUUGAGAAACCAGCUGAGUCAAAAAUUGUGCUUGUGUAAAAUGCGAAACCAUUGAGCCCUCCAAAUUCUUGGAACACCAUCAGCCCAACCCCAACAAUGAGUGAAUAAGCAUACUUUCUCUGGAACAGUUUAAAAAUUCCAUCUUCUGAGUUUUCACAGACGUAGACAGUAUAUUCUUCGAUAUCUGCUGCUUCUUGUGAUAUAUCAGUACCAUUUCCCCUGAGACGCUGCAGAGAAGAUUCAAACUCUCUUACAUGACCUAUUUUUGCCAGCCAUCUUGGGGACUCUGGAAUGAAACAUAAGCAUAACAGCUGCACUAGACAUGGAAUAAUUCCUAUUAUAGCUAAUAUUCUCCAAUUGACAAGAGAACCAACGAGAAAUGUAAGUGCUUUGCCCAAACCUAUCAUCACCUGGUUAAGAGAUGUAAAUGCUCCCCUAAUAUUCUUGGGGGCAAUUUCUGCAAUAUAUACAGGUACCACAUAAGAAAGAAGCCCAAUUCCACACCCCAGAGAAAAUCUUCCAAGAUCAAGCCAAAAGGCAUCCUUGGCAAAUAUAAUUGCGAGCCAUCCCAGGAUGCAGAAUGUUUCUGAAACCACCAUAGCACCUCUACGACCAAUUAUAUCAGCUAUCCGCCCACUUGCUACUGCACCUAUCAUUGCUCCAAUUGUUAAUAUUGAACCAAAAAUCGAAUACUCAGCCAUAUUAAGGCCAAGGUCAUCCACAAUGCCAGUCUCAGCUGGGGAUGAAUAACCCACAGAGUUUCCAAAAACAUAGGACCCGCAAACAGCAACUGUGGUGCUGAAGACCAACAUAGAAGUAAUGGUUGAUGAGAAAUGUUCCGUGGAUCCAUCAUUUUCGCCAGGCAAAAGAAAUCCAUUCUCAAUAAGUGGGCUUGUUCUUGCUUCUUCUUCCAUUCCUGUCCUUCAACAUUCACCCACAACUGCAAAUUUUCAAUUACCAGCACUGAAUCUAAUGAGUUCUUUUAUGCUCGUCUUAUAUAUAUAUAAACAAAAGCUGCACUCUAAACAGGCGAAGGACUUGGAAUUAGAAAGUGG
rnacentral:misc_RNA from 1 species